UUAAGAAUCUUGCACAAUUAGCGAAAGCUAGAUGCAGCGACGCCGCGUGAAGGAUGAAGGCCUUCGGGUCGUAAACUUCUGUUCUGGGGGAAGAUAGUGACGGUACCCCAGAAGAAAGCCCCGGCCAAUUACGUGCCAGCAGCCGCGGUAACACGUAAGGGGCGAGCGUUGUCCGGAAUCACUGGGCAUAAAGCGCGCGUAGGUGGUUUGGCAAGUCGGAUGUGAAAGCCUCGAGCUUAACUCGGGAACUGCGUUCGAAACUGCCUCACUUGAGUAUGGGAGAGGGAGAUGGAAUUCCCGGUGUAGGGGUGAAAUCCUUAGAUAUCGGGAAGAACACCGAUGGCGAAGGCAAUCUCCUGGCCCAUUUCUGACACUGAGGUGCGAAAGCGUGGGGAGCGAACG
rnacentral:rRNA from 1 species